GACGAACGCUGGCGGCGUGCUUAACACACGCAAGUCGAACGGAAAGGCCCUGCUUUUGUGGGGUGCUCGAGUGGCGAACGGGUGAGUAACACGUGAGUAACCUGCCCUUGACUUUGGGAUAACUUCAGGAAACUGGGGCUAAUACCGGAUAGGAGCUCCUGCUGCAUGGUGGGGGUUGGAAAGUUUCGGCGGUUGGGGAUGGACUCGCGGCUUAUCAGCUUGUUGGUGGGGUAGUGGCUUACCAAGGCUUUGACGGGUAGCCGGCCUGAGAGGGUGACCGGCCACAUUGGGACUGAGAUACGGCCCAGACUCCUACGGGAGGCAGCAGUGGGGAAUAUUGCACAAUGGGCGGAAGCCUGAUGCAGCAACGCCGCGUGCGGGAUGACGGCCUUCGGGUUGUAAACCGCUUUCGCCUGUGACGAAGCGUGGGUGACGGUAAUGGGUAAAGAAGCACCGGCUAACUACGUG
rnacentral:rRNA from 1 species